GACGAACGCUGGCGGCGUGCUUAACACAUGCAAGUCGAACGGAAAGGCCCUGCUUUUGUGGGGUGCUCGAGUGGCGAACGGGUGAGUAACACGUGAGUAACCUGCCCUUGACUUUGGGAUAACUGCAGGAAACUGGGGCUAAUACCGGAUAGGAGCUCCUGCUGCAUGGUGGGGGUUGGAAAGUUUCGGCGGUUGGGGAUGGACUCGCGGCUUAUCAGCUUGUUGGUGGGGUAGUGGCUUACCAAGGCUUUGACGGGUAGCCGGCCUGAGAGGGUGACCGGCCACAUUGGGACUGAGAUACGGCCCAGACUCCUACGGGAGGCAGCAGUGGGGAAUAUUGCACAAUGGGCGGAAGCCUGAUGCAGCAACGCCGCGUGCGGGAUGACGGCCUUCGGGUUGUAAACCGCUUUCGCCUGUGACGAAGCGUGAGUGACGGUAAUGGGUAAAGAAGCACCGGCUAACUACGUG
rnacentral:rRNA from 1 species